GGAGGGGUGGCAGAGUGGUCGAUUGCACCGGUCUUGAAAACCGGCAGCCAUGCAAGUGGCUCGGGAGUUCGAAUCUCCCCUCCUCCG
rnacentral:tRNA from 1 species